rnacentral:rRNA from 1 species
UGACCGCUGGCGGCGUGCCUAACACAUGCACGUCGAGCGGCAGCGAGGGGUGCUUGCACCCUGUCGGCGAGCGGCGGACGGCUGAGUAACGCGUGGGAACGUGCCCCAAAGUGAGGAAUAACUGCCCGAAAGGGUAGCUAAUACCGCAUAUUAUCUUCGGAUCAAAGGAUUUAUCCGCUUUGGGAGCGGCUCGCGUCGGAUUAGGUAGUUGGUGAGGUAAUGGCUCACCAAGCCGACGAUCCGUAGCUGGUCUGAGAGGAUGACCAGCCAGACUGGAACUGAGACACGGUCCAGACUCCUACGGGAGGCAGCAGUGAGGAAUCUUCCACAAUGGGCGAAAGCCUGAUGGAGCAACGCCGCGUGCAGGACGAAGGCCUUCGGGUUGUAAACUGCUUUUAUAAGUGAGGAAUAUGACGGUAACUUAUGAAUAAGGAUCGGCUAACUACGUG